rnacentral:rRNA from 1 species
AUUGAACGCUGGCGGCAGGCCUAACACAUGCAAGUCGAACGAGUGGCGGACGGGUGAGUAAUGUCUGGGAAACUACCUGAUGGAGGGGGAUAACUACUGGAAACGGUAGCUAAUACCGCAUACCCUCAGAUGUGCCCAGAUGGGAUUAGCUAGUUGGUGGGGUAACGGCUCACCAAGGCGACGAUCCCUAGCUGGUCUGAGAGGAAGACCAGCCAAACUGGAACUGGGACCAGGUCCAAACUCCCACGGGGGGCAACAGUGGGGAAUAUUGGAAAAUGGGCGCAAGCCUGAUGCAGCCAUGCCGCGUGUAUGAAGAAGGCCUUCGGGUUGUAAAGUACUUUCAGCGGGGAGGCGUUACCCGCAGAAGAAGCACCGGCUAACUCCGUGCCAGCAGCCGCGGUAAUUC